rnacentral:rRNA from 1 species
UGGGGAAUAUUGCACAAUGGGCGCAAGCCUGAUGCAGCCAUGCCGCGUGUGUGAAGAAGGCCUUCGGGUUGUAAAGCACUUUCAGCGAGGAGGAAGGUGGUGAGCUUAAUACGCUCAUCAAUUGACGUUACUCGCAGAAGAAGCACCGGCUAACUCCGUGCCAGCAGCCGCGGUAAUACGGAGGGUGCAAGCGUUAAUCGGAAUUACUGGGCGUAAAGCGCACGCAGGCGGUUUGUUAAGUAAGAUGUGAAAUCCCCGGGCUCAACCUGGGAACUGCAUUUGAAACUGGCAAGCUAGAGUCUCGUAGAGGGGGGUAGAAUUCCAGGUGUAGCGGUGAAAUGCGUAGAGAUCUGGAGGAAUACCGGUGGCGAAGGCGGCCCCCUGGACGAAGACUGACGCUCAGGUGCGAAAGCGUGGGGCAGCAAACAGGAUUAGAUACCCUGGUAGUCCACGCUGUAAACGAUGUCGAUUUUGGAGGUUGUGCCCUUGAGGCGUGGCUUCCGGAGCUAACGCGUUAAAUCGACCGCCU